rnacentral:misc_RNA from 1 species
AAGUCGUAACAAGGUUUCCGUAGGUGAACCUGCGGAAGGAUCAUUACCUUUCAAUGCAGCAGAGUUGGGAUGGUUGAGUAUCUCGCCUUUCAACGCUGCCUGUAUUCUACCCUUGUUUGCCAUAUACUAUUAUUUCCUCGGCAGGCUUGCCUGCCGAGUGAAACCAAUUAUAACCUAUUUAAUUUUCAAUCAGCGUCUGACAAAAUUAAUAAUUACAACUUUCAACAACGGAUCUCUUGGUUCUG